AAAGUCGUAACAAGGUUUCCGUAGGUGAACCUGCGGAAGGAUCAUUAUCGUAAAUCCACGUUAAACCAUUGUGAACUGUUGUGUGUCUUAAUCAUGAGAGGAAGAGAGAAAGAAACUUUUCUUUUUCGACUCUUUGAUUGGUUAUCUCACAUUUUAAAUUAAACCUUUUUGAACCCAUCAUUAUAACUUUUUACUAAUCAUUUCAUACUCUGGAAACGGAGAUGGAAUAAAUACGAAACAUAAGAACAACUCUUAGCAACGGAUAUCUUGGCUCUC
rnacentral:misc_RNA from 1 species